CUGAAGUCGGUGUUUGGAGAAAAGGACUCAGGCUUAUCAAAGUUUUGGCUUUGUUGCAAGAGCAGGUCAAGAUUUAGCUGUUCUUCAGUGAACAAGUGUGCAGAUUGUCAAAUAUGUCAGUUCAUCAAAUAAGAAAACAUGCAGUUCUCCCACCUAUCAUUUGUAGAAGUGACAAGGAAUUUUUGGAAAGUGUGCAAAGAUACAUAAUUACAGAAACUGAAAGACUGGGCUGUAGUGAGGAAGGACCUGCUGAUGAAUAUUACAUCAUAUACCGAAAUGUUUUUGAUAAGGUAAUAGAGCAUAUCACUGCAUACAAAUCCAUUCUUACUUCAAUCAAAAAAGAAUAUGAUGCCUUUAUUGAGACAAUAAAGAAAGACCGAAGAACUACAUUUUGUCUUCAUGGAAAACUUAAAGGUUUGGCAGCAGAGCCUACAGCUUUGGUAUAUUACAGGAAAAGAA
rnacentral:lncRNA from 1 species